rnacentral:rRNA from 1 species
CCUACGGGAGGCUGCAGUAAGGAAUAUUGGUCAAUGGACGCAAGUCUGAACCAGCCAUGCCGCGUGAAGGAUGAAGGUCCUCUGGAUUGUAAACUUCUUUUAUCUGGGACGAAACCCCCUGAAUCUUCAGGGACUGACGGUACCAGAGGAAUCAGCACCGGCUAACUCCGUGCCAGCAGCCGCGGUAAUACGGAGGGUGCAAGCGUUAUCCGGAUUCACUGGGUUUAAAGGGUGCGUAGGCGGGCCGGUAAGUCAGUGGUGAAAUCCUGGGGCUUAACCCCAGAACUGCCGUUGAUACUAUCGGUCUUGAAUGUUGUGGAGGUGAGCGGAAUAUGUCAUGUAGCGGUGAAAUGCAUAGAGAUGACAUAGAACACCAAUUGCGAAGGCAGCUCACUACGCAAAUAUUGACGCUGAGGCACGAAAGCGUGGGGAUCAAACAG